rnacentral:rRNA from 1 species
AUUGAACGCUGGCGGCAUGCCUUACACAUGCAAGUCGAACGGUAACGCGGGGCAACCUGGCGACGAGUGGCGAACGGGUGAGUAAAGCAUCGGAACGUGCCCAGUAGUGGGGGAUAGCCCGGCGAAAGCCGGAUUAAUACCGCAUACGACCUACGGGUGAAAGGGGGGGAUCGCAAGACCUCUCGCUAUUGGAGCGGCCGAUGUCAGAUUAGGUAGUUGGUGGGGUACAGGCCUACCAAGCCGACGAUCUGUAGCUGGUCUGAGAGGACGACCAGCCACACUGGGAGUUAGACACGGCCCAGACUCCUACGGGAGGCAGCAGUAGGGAAUUUUGGACAAUGGGCGCAAGCUUGAUCCAGCCAUGCCGCGUGCGGGAAGAAGGCCUUCGGGUUGUAAACCGCUUUUGUCAGGGAAGAAAUCUUCUGGGUUAAUACCUCGGGAGGAUGACGGUACCUGAAGAAUAAGCACCGGCUAACUACGUGCCAGCAGCCGCGGUAAGAC